GUGGGGAAUAUUGCACAAUGGGCGAAAGCCUGAUGCAGCAACGCCGCGUGAGGGACGACGGCCUUCGGGUUGUAAACCUCUUUUAGUAGGGAAGAAGCGAAAGUGACGGUACCUGCAGAAAAAGCACCGGCUAACUACGUGCCAGCAGCCGCGGUAAUACGUAGGGUGCAAGCGUUAUCCGGAAUUAUUGGGCGUAAAGAGCUCGUAGGCGGUCUGUCGCGUCUGCUGUUAAAACUGGAGGCUCAACCUCCAGCCUGCAGUGGGUACGGGCAGACUAGAGUGCGGUAGGGGAGAUUGGAAUUCCGGGUGUAGCGGUGGAAUGCGCAGAUAUCAGGAGGAACACCGAUGGCGAAGGCAGAUCUCUGGGCCGUAACUGACGCUGAGGAGCGAAAGCGUGGGGAGCGAACAGGAUUAGAAACCCUGGUAGUCC
rnacentral:rRNA from 1 species